UGGAAGUGGAUCUGCUUCCAAGGUCGGGAGU
rnacentral:piRNA from 1 species